UUAACUGUAGGGGGAGGGAGCAGAAAUGUUGUCUAUUUCGGCUUAAAAAUCACCUAUAAGUGCCCUAUUUUUCCAAAUGUUACACCUUUAAUCCCCAGAAGUUCAAAUCCAUUAUGGAUUAUAUACACUUUGUCAUCAAAAUUAUUGGGACAUCUCGCAAUUACAGUAGGUUAAAAAAAAAAAAAGUGAGUUAGUCCCCAUUUAGCAGCAAUAACUGUGUCCUGGGAAGACUUUCUACUACAUAUUUAAUGUGUGUCCACUCUUCCAGAAUAACAUUUGUAAGGUCAGAGGUCACUGCUGUCAUCUUAAACUGGUUGCUGUGACCAUCAAGUUGGCAGCAUAAAAGUGUCCAGCAGAUGGCAGCAUAGCCUUGUCUUCCCUGGAAUGUUUUUGCAAGCACUCUGGAAGUAAGUAACAAUGUUUUCACAUCUUGAUGCAGGCUUGUGAGCAAGACUUAUCCAUUAUAAUUUUAUACAGGACUCCACAACUCUGCUCCAUUUUUACUAGGAAACUAUAUAGUUGUUAUUGUGUACUAACUAGAGUUGUUAUUGUGUACUUUCUGUACCCUGAGGGCACAUGUUCUGUCUGAACAAGGCAGCUCACAUCAAGUUGGAUGGACAUUGAUUUGACCAAUUACAAGUCCUCAAAUCACUUAACAAUGCUGUGUAUUUCUAUAUUGUUGUGUAAAAACGGCGUACACACGAUGUCAGAGACUAAUACCAGUGAGUGGUGAUAGAUUGCAGUGUAGAGUUGUUGUUGUCCUUCCUGUGCAGCCAAAUUAAAAAGAAAUAUGUGAUGAAAAUCAUGUCCACUCUAUAUUGCAUGAUGAACUUAAUGAUGAUUGUGUAAUUGUGUCUGAAGGGAAGACACCUCAGCUUGAAAAACGCAGCCUUGAGGGUUUGCUAACUUCCCAGUCAUCAAGGUGUGUUGUGGGUGUGGCGCACAAAUAAAGGUGAGUCUGUCCAGCCAGGAAAUGAUUCACAUGAUAUGAUUUUUUUUUACCAUGGAGAUAAAAGACCAACUGCACGUUUGUUCUCCACCUGAAUCCUUACGUAAUCCGAUUUUAUGAUGCUUUUGAGGACACAUUGUGAGGUAAACAGUGCAUUGGGCAACAGAGGUGGGGAGAAAGUUGGUAAGCAUGAAGGAUUUCAGGAGGAGCUGGGAGUGUCAGACAUGCUUCAUUCCUUUCCAGCAUGUUGGGACUCAUUCCCGGCCUGCACUCUUUUCUAAAACCAUCUUGAUUUUCCAAAGAAGUGUUUGGCACCCAUUGUCUAGUUCCUCCACGCCAAACUCAGCCAACCAUGCCUGCAGCUUUGUGCACAGACCACAGUGUUCAACAACAACAAGUCAUCAUGUCAUGCUUGCAUUGGCAAUGAUCUUCUUCUCCCAUCUUCUCAGAUAGCAGCUGGUCCUCUGUGUGAUUUAUCACACUUACCUGAGACUCUGCUGAGGAGCGCCUCAGGAAUUCCAGGAUUCCACGUCAACCUCAGAAACACGGAGCGCUCUAAGUGGCUGAGCCGUCGGCGGUCCCGUCUUGUCCCCUUGUAAGGAAUGGCAACAGAGGAGGAUAAACGACUGAAAACAAGAGGAUAGAGUAAAAGAAGGAGCUUAUUGAUUACAGCGUGGGCUACGAUGGCGGACGCGCGGACACAAUAGGUAAGAAAAGUCGGUUUUGCAUAACA